rnacentral:snoRNA from 1 species
CAGUGUGAUGAUAAACAGGAGAUGCUGCAGCAGACUGAGCAGAAAAAGAUGUUGCAAAAGAUCGGCCUGUAGAGUCAGGAA